UGGGGUAUAAUGUGAUAUAGCGGGGGAGGGGGCGGGGCUCUACAUAACCCGGAUGAUGCUGAGCUUCCGGUGUCUGUAGCUGGAGAGGAGGAAGAGCAGGAUCAGCUGAACUACAGAAGAAAUUAAAAUAUUCUCCUGAAAUUCAACACCAACAACCAGGACAUUUAACUAAGAGCAAUGUUAAACUGCUGAAAGAGGUGAAGUACAAGACAUCCUGAAGAAUCUCCAGAACACACAGAAAUUGUUUGCUACAUUUAACAGACAAAUUAAGCAAAGACCCAACAUGGAGAAACAUCAGCACUCUGCCGAAAGUUUUACUAAACAGACUGAUCUCAAAAAUCCCCAGCGCAUUCACACAGGACAGAAACCGUAUCACUGCUCAGACUGUGGGAAGAGUUUUAAUCAACUGGGGACUCUUAAACUGCAUCAGCGCAUUCACACAGGAGAGAAACCGCAUUACUGCUCUGACUGUGGGAAGAGCUUUAAUCAACUGGGGACUCUCAAACUGCAUCAGCGCGUUCACACAGGAGAGAAACCGUAUUACUGCUCUGACUGUGGGAAGAGUUUUACUGCACAGAGUAAUCUCAAAAUACACCAGCACAUUCACACAGGAGAGAAACCGUUUCACUGCUCAGACUGUGGGAAGAGCUUUAAUCAACUGGGGACUCUCAAAAAACACCAGCGCAUUCACACAGGAGAGAAACCGUAUUACUGCUCAGACUGUGGGGGGAGUUUUAAUCGACAGAGUCAUCUCAAAACACACCAGCGCAUUCACACAGGAGAGAAACCGUAUCACUGCUCAGACUGUGGGAGGAGUUUUACUCAACAGAGUAAUCUCAAAAAACACCAGCGCAUUCACACAGGAGAGAAACCGCAUCACUGCUCAGACUGUGGGAAGAGUUUUACUGAACAGAGUAAUCUCCAAAAACACCGGCGCAUUCACACUGGAGUAAAACCAUAUUACUGCUCAGACUGUGGGAAGAGUUUUAAUCGGCUGGGUACUCUCAAACAGCAUCAACACAUUCACACAGGAGUGCAACCCUAUUACUGCUCAGACUGUGGGAAGAGUUUUACUGAACAGCGUAAUCUCCAAAAACACCAGCGCAUUCACACAGGAGAGAAAACUAUCACAAAUUUGUCCCACGGCAAUUAAAAAUGCGAAUCAUAAAUCUUUCAGACAGAACACCUUAUCCUACACAAAUGUUUCACUUUGUCACUUGGGACACGUUCCACCAGAAACAAACAUGAACUGAAUUUAACAAUGGAUUUUACAUGUUCAGCAAAAUGAAUCUUAUCAAGAGAUUAUGUUUAUUAAAUUCCAUGUUGUGUUUUCUCGUAUGUUUGAUAUUCCAGGAAAUUCUUUUUGAGACAGAGCUCAGUUUUUAGGGUAGUUACGGUAGGAGUUCAGUUCUGAAGAAGGGAAGGUCAUUUGAGUUUGAGUGAGGGCACUGCCAGUUCUUGCUCUAGAUGUUAGAAUAGCAUAAAUUAGUCUUUAAAAUGCCAUAAUUGUUAGGAGUAGAGUAGGAUUCUUAGCUUGCAACUAAGCGUUCGGGAUCAAACCUUAAGUGUUAAUGCUUAGAAGGUUUUGAAAGCAUUUAAUCUCUUUUCUAGUAUAUGCAGAUUUGAUUAUUUCUAUUUAUUUUUAGUAUCUCUGUUUUCACUGUGGAAGCCGUGCUCAGUUUACAUUUUACAUUUCCCAAGCCGUGCUCAGUUUACAUUUACCAUAGCUUAGCUUAAUGCUAAUAACCCCCAGACCACCCUGUAUGAAAUGAGAAGGGCAAAACACCACCUGAGCCACUCCAGAGAGACUGUGCUCUCAAAAGUGAGACCCAGAGCCACAGAGAGAUGACACUGUGUCGGGUACUGCCGUGUGGACUGGAGGAGCACCCAGACUUGAAUGGACUUGGGCGAAGUUAAAAAACAUCUGGUUAAUGUCAGCAUACCAAGAUACAUCGCUUAUAGCAGAUGCUCCCAUCAGGUUUUUAGUGCUAGUACGUAAGUAAGUAAUCUCUAUUUCAGGGGUGUCAAACUCAUUUUGGCCGAGGGCCACAUUGGCAUUUUGGCUGUCCUCUGAGCGCCAGAUGUAACUUAUAAAUGUAAUAAAAUGUAACCAAAUGUAAUAUAAAAUGAAUGUAGUUACUCCUUAAUGUUAAAUAACUCUCAAUGGAAAAUAUGUUUGCUUGUUGCUCUAUUAACAUAAAUCCUUUUAAUUUGUCAUGUUAUGAAAUCCAAAAACUCCAUCAAUCAAGAACCAAACUAUUCAAGUGAAUAGAAAUUACAUAAAAUACAAGUUAUAUUAACUUUGAUCAAAACGUUUGAUACUGAAAUAAGGCUUAUUAAAUAUAAAAUUAAAAAUUGUGAGCUGUUAAGAACAUGUGACAGAUUUAGCAUUUCCUCAGAUUUAGCAGUUCCUCAUCCAAUCACUAGUGGGAGCUGCUGGCCCGCAGUCUUUACUUAGUCAGAGCUACAGCCCAGCCACGGGCUACAGGACUCAGCUGAGCCAGUCUGGAGCGUUUUUACAGUUUUUAAAGUUCUUUUGUAUAGGAAAUAAAGGUCUUAACCCCAAUAACCAGAAAAUACAGCUCUCUACAGUUCAUCUUUCAGCCCAAGCAGCUAACAGCAGCAGUUUAGAGCAGAGUCACGGAGUCACUGCUGGGAUUACAUUAUAAACAGGUCAGUUAGCGCGCUGCUAACCUCAGGAUGUUUAUAACUACGGAGUUUAGUGGACACACCACGGCUGCAAGGUUAGACUGUUGAAGGCUACUGAAGACUAUUAAAGGCUAUUGGAGGUUAUUGAAAGGGUUAUUGGUGGCAGAAAUCAGUACAGGCUGGUUAGAUAAGUGAUUCACGUACUCGUCCUUUGCUGUGGUGAAACUGCGACUAGCACUGUCACAGUGAUGUUUAUUAACGUAAUUAAAACAGAUUUUGUCAGCUAUUGUCUUAUAAAUAUUUACACACAACUUAUAUCUCUCCUAAAAAGCGUUUAUUUUGGUCAGUAACACUUUUCGUAACACAAAAUGCAUACCGGUCUUUCGCCUUGAAGCACAGCUGUCCGUCUGCAUCAACUUUUCUUUUUCUGGACAUUAUGGGAUAAACAUUUAUAUGUCUCAAUUCCACCCGCGAAGUUACACCUUCCCUCCGGCAGGGUUUCCACAUCAAUGACUACACUGCCGUGUAGUGGCAGUAAGCCGUAACACAAUCGAAAAGCAUUGUGGGAAAAGUAGUUUUUGGUCAAAGCACGCUUCUGACCUAUUUAUUAUAGACACUAAGAUCUUACAAGCUCUCGCGGGCCACAUUAAAGGACGUGGCGUUUGACACAUGUGCUCUAUUUAUAUAUAUAUAUAUAGCACUUUUCCAGCGCAGUGUUUUACAGAUUACAGCAGUGGUGUGCAGUAAGGCCCUUCUUAUUAUAGUUAUUGUAAACUAUAAGCAUAUAUUUUAUAAAUUAACUAAAAUAAAAAAUAGCAACUAAUUCAAAGCAUUAGUCAGUGACAACGGUUCUAACCAAUCAAAGCUUUUUAAAAUGGCUUCUGCCACCGUGUGUCUGCCUGACCCUGCUACUGAUUUUGUGAAGGUUGUAGUAAUGAGUGUUUAGCAAAGUCAUAGGACAAUCUAACCAAUCAGAUUCAUGAUUUUCACUCCGGGGGCAGGGCCAUGGCUGUCAAACCCCUUGUCAGCGUGCUGAUGGAAGGGGCUAUGCAUUGCUUACUGUAAAACACAUGCUGGAUUAGUUUAAUAGUUAGCUAACUAAAAUGGAUUGCAAAGGCUACCCUUCAAUGUGAAACUAAUGCACAAUAAUUGGCCGCUUGUCUGGUGGGUUUUUGUGCAUACUUAAUGUUUUGGCUGAUCUGCCGUCUUGUAGGCAUACAAAUGAGUGAUAUUUGUUGGCUGGCUGUACUUGUAGGCAAAUUUAGCAUUGAUUUUGUCGUUUGUCGCUGUAUUUUUGGGCUGUUAAUGUGCAUUAAGCUCAUAUAACUAAGUUGAGACAGAGCAUAUGGUGUUCUAAUAUAAAUCUAUGUGUAGGUCGGCGGGUGGAGGAGGGGGAGGGUGUGAUUCAGAAGGGGUACCUACUAUAUGACUUGCAUGCCACUGGAUUACAGAAAAUAUAUAAAUAUAUAAAUAUAAAAAUAGUUAGUUUGUUUUAUUUCUGGUUACCAACUUCUAUCAGGGACAUUGCCUGUCCCUGACUACCUCUGUUUGCCUAGUCCUGUAAAUAAACCUGUGUUUACUAAUCAGCUUCACUUUGUGAUGGUCACCAUGCAUAUUCAAAAUUUACUAUGCAAGUUAACACUGUUCAAAAAUUUGAACUAUAUGUAAUAAAUGAUCAACUUG